rnacentral:rRNA from 1 species
AAUUUUGGACAAUGGGGGAAACCCUGAUCCAGCCAUCCCGCGUGUAUGAUGAAGGCCUUCGGGUUGUAAAGCCCUGUCUUAUGGGACGAAGAAAGUGACGGUACCAUAGGAGGAAGCCACGGCUAACUACGUGCCAGCAGCCGCGGUAAUACGUAGGGUGCAAGCGUUAAUCGGAAUUACUGGGCGUAAAGCGUGUGUAGGCGGUUCGGAAAGAAAGAUGUGAAAUCCCAGGGCUCAACCUUGGAACUGCAUUUUUAACUGCCGAGCUAGAGUAUGUCAGAGGGGGGUAGAAUUCCACGUGUAGCAGUGAAAUGCGUAGAUAUGUGGAGGAAUACCGAUGGCGAAGGCAGCCCCCUGGGAUAAUACUGACGCUCAGACACGAAAGCGUGGGGAGCAAACAGG